CAAGUCCAAGUGCCACAGAGAAGAUGUUGGAGCGCACGGAUUAUGAGAAGCAAUGCAUCGAGGCAAAGAAAGCAGGCAAGCCAAAGCCGCGAUUCCCAAAAGCUUGGGAGGAGGCC
rnacentral:ribozyme from 1 species